GCGGGAGUUGCCAAGCCUGGUCAAAGGCGUGAGAUGUUUAAAACACGAUGCUCAGAAACCAGGAUAAUUGAGAUACCUCAUCUCUUAGGGGUCCGUGGGUUCAAAUCCCAUCUCCCGCA
rnacentral:tRNA from 1 species